UUUUUCUUUGUCUUCUCUCUCUCUUUCAGUCUUUUUUUCUUUCUAUUUUUUUCUCCCUCUUUUUUGUCUUCUUUUUCAUCUUUAGAUCACUAAAUUUUUGGUUCCUUUUUAAGACUCAAGCAACAGGACCUCAACAAUUAACAUACGCACACAUGAAUCGCUGGUGAUUUACAUAAAUACGGAUCAUCGGAUCUUCCAUCUUUUUCUCCCUUUGGUCAUCUUCUGGUCAUUUCUCUUCUUCUUCUUCUUCCAUUUUGUAUAUUCAAAUCUUCAUCAUUUUCAUCAUCAUCAUCAAUGGAAAAAGAGUGACCCUCAGGGACAAAUAUUCUCUUUGGCCUUAUUUUCUCUUUCACUCUUUUUCUUUCUUCUUUGCUCCUUCCCCUUAUCCACCCUCACAAUCAUCAUCUUUUUCUCUUUCACUGAUUAUUUUUCUCUCUCCCGUUCUCUCUCUCUCUCUCUCUCUCUCUCUCUCUCUCUCUCUCUCUCUUUCCCAUUUGAUAUCCAUAUGACCCUUAAAUCUAUUAUUAUUUUCCAUCUUCUUUCUCCUCCAUGUGUCAGAGUAAUUCCAGUGUCCAAAAUGCAACUUUAGACAAGGACAGUGAUACUUUUUACACCGACCAUUGGAUACGAAAAUCAUUAAUUGCUCAUUACAUUCAAUUGGAUUCAUAUAGAGGCUCAAGUGAAAAUUCAACUGUUGUCGCCGUUAUUUUCUCGAUCAAGCUACACACACACACACUCUCUCUCUCUCUCUCUCACUAUCCCUCAUCCCUCUUUAUCCACCAUACAACUAACAAAACAACCUUAUGUUAACCUAAAUUUCAAUCGGAAACUUUUACUUCUCAUUAAUUAUCUCUCUCAAAUCAUGAAUUAUCAUUGAUUUUGGUAUCAACUUUGUUCUUGUUGUUGUUUCUGGAUAAGUGAAUAUUAUUGAUGAACAGAUAUUGACUUUUCCCAUUCGCGUAUUAAGAUACAAAAGUUGAUAGCCAAAUGAUGAUAAUCAUGAUAGCGAAAUUGAGUCAGAAAUUCUGUCGUUAAUUACUUUAUAAAUUUUUCUCUCUCUUUAAAUUAUGAUAAUCCUCGAAUUCCUCUUCCAUCUUUCUUUCUGUAUAUUAUUCAGCUUAAUUCUCAGCAUCUUAUAUAUCUCUUGAUUCCUUUAUCUUAUCUUAUCUUUUCCGUUUUUCUGUUCUCUUGCAUUUUAUUUUUUCUUACUACUACUACUAUUUCCGUUUACAUUUUUCUUGGCCAUUUUUACUUCCGUUUUAUGGGUCAACAUAUAAACAUCAUCAUCAAGUUUAUUUGUGGAAACCAAAAACUGACCCAUUGGUGAGGAGAGAGAAACGAAAAGUUGAAAAGACAAAACAAGUUAAUUGACAUCGAUGGACAAAGAUGAAAAUGCCUAAGGAUACAUAUGAGAAAAAAAAGGUCAAAGUAGGUGGUCACUCGUUAAGGUCACUCUCUCUCUUCGUCUCCAUAAUAUUGCUCAUCAUUUUGGUCUUCAAGAUUCAUUGGAAAACGAUUGGUCAUCUGGUAAAUAAACAAUCAAACCAAAAAGUGAUCUGACAAUUAUUUUGCUGGCGAAACAACAACAGAAAAGGGUUAAUUGUUGGGAGAUUUUGAUAAUCACAACUGGAUUAACCAGGAAUCAAGAAGUAAAUUAAAUGACCUGAAACAAGGCUCAUUUAUAUCAUUAAUCAUUCCAGUGUUUCAAUUGACUAAUUUAACGGGAAUUUUAAUCAUUUCAACAUAAAAGCGUAGGUGAUGAAGAUGCGGAUGAUAAUGAUGAUGACAUAGAAUGACGAUCAUAAUGAUUAAUCCAAUUAAUCUUAAGAGGAGGAAAAGAUAUUUAUAAAUAUGAAUGAAAUAGUAAAAUGGAUCAACGGAAAAACAAAAGUCAGUUCGAAACAAUAGUUCUUGGAAUUGUUUCAAUUGAGCUGAUAUUUCUUCACGAAACAUGGGAUUAAGGGAACAAGUGAAGGACUAUUAGUAGAAUGAGCCAGAUGAAUGAUGAUGAUGAUGAUGAGAUUGUAGAACGAUAGAGGAUGAGAAGAGGAAGAAGAUGAAAUAAAGAUGACGAAGAUAAACAUACGAAAAGAGAGAGAGAGAGAGAGAGAAUCAGUAGGAAGAAAAUUAUCCUCUAGAAGAAGAGGAGAAAAGAAAAAUUCUAUGAAUGAAAGAGAGAGAAAAGGUCGUAAAGAAAAUAGUAAAAAGAGAGAGAGAGGAAAAAGAUGAUGGGCAAAGAUGAAAAGAAAGUAAGUCGGAAAGAAAGAGUAAAAUAGCAAAUGCUAAAUCCGUAAUUAAAAGGCUUAACGAUGUUAAUUAAUGUUAUUCUUAUGGUUCAGCCUCUAAAACAAUCCAUUGAUUUCUUAAAUUUAUCCUUUUAUGGGUCAAGUUUCCUUUCCCUGAUUGUUGCCGAUCAUCAUCAUGUUGACCUCAGAAUGUUGGUAAUGAUUAUUGACCUCAGACUGUGAAUCUAAAAUCAGUUGUUUCUUCAUUAUAUUAUCUAUCAUCCUCUUCCUUUUUUCCUCUUCUUCAUCAUCAUCAUCAUCAAUAGUAACUUCUUCAAGAAUCUUUCAUCAUCAUCUUCAUCCUCCUUUGUCUGGAUAACCUGUAAAUCAAUGCGAUCCUUGGGAAACAAAUUUACUUUGCUUGGUUAACAAUUAUAUUUAUUAUCAUCAUCUUUCUCUCUUCUCCCUUAUUCUUGCCUCCAACAGUGAUUCCAAAGGAGCAAAGUAUCAGCUAUAUCAUCAUCAUCAUCUCCGUGUUGGUUUUUAUGCUCUUAUAUUACCUACAACAAACAAGAAAGAAAAUCAGGAAAAUUGGUGAACCGCAGAAAGUCAUGCUACAUAAAAAAAUGGAAUAGAAAAAACAAAAAUCUAAGAAUUAAUUGUUGUAGUUAAUUGUGAUUGUUACCAUUAUUAUAUCUGAGAAGAUCAACCAUCAUAAGAAUCAAGGAUAAUCAAUGAGCGAGAGAUACUCUCAAGGUGAAAGGUAACUAUCAAAGUACAAAAUAGAAAACCAGUAAUUUUGUCACUUAACAUGUAACAAUUAAGGAUAGUAAUUAGUGAGAGUCAAUUUAUUCAUCAUCUUCUCUAUCAUCAACAUGAUAAUCUAAAGAGUCUAAAAUCAACAUUCAUCACCUUUACAAGGUAAGCAAAAAGAUGAUUAAAACCAGUGCCCAAUCAACAAGAUAAUUAAAUUGUUCAAUUAAAUUAUUACCGAUACUUAAAUAAUUGAUAAAAUUGAUUGGAAUCAAUGUCAAUACAAUUAAAGGUAAUUAGCAUGAGUAGUUUGGUUUGUAAAAGUUAGCUAACUUUUUCUAAUGAUAAACAAUUUAAUUCAUAAUGUAAUUCAAUGAAGAUCAGGGUUACCAGGUUUUCCUUUAAUUGCUCAGAGUGAUGAGAUAAUGUUGAUGAAUCAUUAGAAAGUUAAUAUUAAGUUGAGAAUAAUCAACAAUCAAGAUAAUGAGAACAAUUAGAAAUUGUAAACAAUUUGCAAUUCGUUGACAGGAUGGAGAUUAUUAUUCUUAAUCUCAAUCUAAUUCUUAAAUUCGGAGGUAAUCUUAUCUUCUUCAUCUUAAUCUCUUUGUCUUUGUGACUUUGAAAAGAGAGAAAUGAGUUGAUUAUCAAUAAGAGAAAAGAAAAAGGAUUAAUCGUUUCGAAUUAAUGAUUUGUUUUGUUC